rnacentral:rRNA from 1 species
AUUGAACGCUGGCGGCAGGCCUAACACAUGCAAGUCGAACGAGUGGCGGACGGGUGAGUAAUGUCUGGGGAUCUGCCCGAUAGAGGGGGAUAACUACUGGAAACGGUCGCUAAUACCGCAUACUAUCGGAUGUACCCAUAUGGGAUUAGCUAGUAGGUGGGGUAACGGCUCACCUAGGCGACGAUCCCUAGCUGGUCUGAGAGGAUGAUCAGCAACACUGGGAAUGAGAUACGGCCCAGACUCCGACGGGAGGCAGCAGUGGUGAAUAUUGGACAAUGGGCGCAAGCCUGAUGAAGCCAUGCCGCGUGUAUGAAGAAGGCCUUAGGGUUGUAAAGUACUUUCAGCGGGGAGGCGUUACCCGCAGAAGAAGCACCGGCUAACUCCGUGCCAGCAGCCGCGGUAAUAC